GCCAGACUCCUACGGGAGGCAGCAGUGGGGGAUAUUGCACAAUGGGCGCAAGCCUGAUGCAGCGACGCCGCGUGAGCGAAGAAGUAUUUCGGUAUGUAAAGCUCUCUCAGCAGGGAAGAAGAUGACGGUACCUGACCAAGAAGCUCCGGCUAAAUACGUGCCAGCAGCCGCGGUAAUACGUAUGGAGCAAGCGUUAUCCGGAUUUACUGGGUGUAAAGGGAGCGCAGGCGGCCUUGCAAGUCUGAUGUGAAAGGCCGGGGCCCAACCCCGGGACUGCUCUUGGAACUGCGCGGCUGGAGUGCAGGAGGGGCAGGCGGAAUUCCUGGUGUAGCGGUGAAAUGCGUAGAUAUCAGGAGGAACACCGGUGGCGAAGGCGGCCUGCUGGACUGCGACUGACGUUGAGGCCCGAAAGCGUGGGGAGCAAACAGGAUUAGAUACCCCAGUA
rnacentral:rRNA from 1 species